rnacentral:rRNA from 1 species
CAGUCGCCGCGGGAAUACAGAGGAUGCAAGCGUUAUCCGGAAUGAUUGGGCGUAAAGUGUCUGUAGGUGACUUUUCAAGUCCGCCGUCAAAUCCCAGGGCUCAACCCUGGACAGGUGGUGGAAACUACCAAGCUGGAGUAUGGUAGGGGCAGAGGGAAUUUCCAGUGGAGCGGUGAAAUGCAUUGAGAUCGGAAAGAACACCAACGGCGAAAGCACUCUGCUGGGCCGACACUGACACUGAGAGACGAAAGCUAGGGGAGCAAAUGGGAUUAGAUACCCCCGUAGUCCCUGUCUCUUAUAC